rnacentral:piRNA from 1 species
CAUAUGGACUGGGAAAAAGUUGC